rnacentral:rRNA from 1 species
GACGAACGCUGGCGGCGUGCUUAACACAUGCCAGUCGAACGGAAAGGCCCUGCUUUUGUGGGGUGCUCGAGUGGCGAACGGGUGAGUAACACGUGAGUAACCUGCCCUUGACUUUGGGAUAACUUCAGGAAACUGGGGCUAAUACCGGAUAGGAGCUCCUGCUGCAUGGUGGGGGUUGGAAAGUUUCGGCGGUUGGGGAUGGACUCGCGGCUUAUCAGCUUGUUGGUGGGGUAGUGGCUUACCAAGGCUUUGACGGGUAGCCGGCCUGAGAGGGUGACCGGAAAAAGGGGGACUGAGAAAGGGCCCGGACCCCUACGGGAGGAAGAAGGGGGAAAUAGGGAAAAGGGGGGGGAAGCCGGAGGCAGCAGCGCCGGGGGGGGGAGGAGGGCUUCCGGUUUGAAAACCGCUUUCGCCGGGGAGGAAGGGGGAGGGAGGGAAGGGGAUAAAGAAGCACCGGCAAACUACGUG